CAGUCGCCACGGGAAUACGUAGGGUGCAAGCGUUAAUCGGAAUUACUGGGCGUAAAGCGUGCGCAGGCGGUUAUAUAAGUCAGAUGUGAAAUCCCCGAGCUUAACUUGGGAACUGCAUUUGAAACUGGCAAGCUAGAGUCUUGUAGAGGGGGGUAGAAUUCCAGGUGUAGCGGUGAAAUGCGUAGAGAUCUGGAGGAAUACCGGUGGCGAAGGCGGCCCCCUGGACAAAGACUGACGCUCAGGUGCGAAAGCGUGGGGAGCAAACAGGAUUAGAUACCCGAGUAGUCCCUGUCUCUUAUAA
rnacentral:rRNA from 1 species